GGCCCCGCGGCGCUUCCCCUGCCCCGCCCCAGCCACCCUGUUCCGGCGGGCUUGAUUUCGUCCCUCGGCAUCGCCGCCGAGCUCGCCUUCCACAGGGUCUCCGGCUUGCGCGCCACCGGCGGUGGCCUUGCGCCCGGAUAUUGCAGAUGAGCAGAUCCAAACUAAUCAAUUGGAUAUAUGCACCGCAUUGUUAUCAAUCUACCUUCUCGGGUACGACGACAUUGUUGAGCAGCCUCGUGAUCGGCUUCGCUACAUCCGGGUUGGAGAACGCUGCUGAUCUGACACAACACAACAAGAAAUGAAAACCCACAUGAGCUGCUGGCAGCUAUCUGCAAUGCAUAUGAACAUGACAGGCUCUACAGGAAAACUUGCAUCGUCUGAUCACCAACGAUGGGGCGCAUAUCGUUCACUGGAGAGCGAAUGAAACUGUGGGUCGGAGCAUCAAAAUCUGGAGAUAAACAUCCUCCGAUUUCACUACCACGGGCGAAACAAAAAAUUCAGCCUCAGUUAUGCACCUGAAUAACAUAUGAACGGCUGGAUGAAUAUAGAUAAGGGUCAAUUCAGAAUUCAGACAUCAAGUACCUAGUGGAUAUCCGGUGUUUUUCUUCUGGGCAGUCAUACAUUGCCACAAAUGCUGCAUCAUUUGCCAGAUUGUUUGAGUUCCUCAAGAAAAUCCUCUCUUGCCGAAUAGUAUUCCGGCUCGUCUCUUGCACCUAGUGUGUAAAUAAGGCAACCGAGAAUCAUCAAAAUUGUUGAAGAUGGGAAGAGGAAGCUGCUAAAAGGCCAUGUAUGUGCAUACCUACUGCCAAGUAAAGGAGCCUCCUCGGUCUGACGAUGUGGAACAAAUGAUCCAUGUAAUCAAACAUGUACUGGAGAAACUGCACAUAUGCAAGUGAAAUGCGAGGUGAAGAGUCAAGACUGGCCAGAACAACUAAGCAGACUGGACCUAUCGAUGCAUCCUGCAUGGAGAUUGCCAUGGAUUGAGAUGUGUAUCAAUUACCAUUCUGUUCUUCGGGCUGAAGCAAGAUCCAUGGAUGAUGUCAUUCAUGUCAAGGUACAGGUUAUCGAAGAUGAUGGUGCUCUCCUCGCUGCAGCCAAUGGCCUGUGCUUCAUCGCCAUCAAUUUCUUCUUCAUCGAUGUCUUCUUUGUCGUCGCCAUCUUCUUCGUCCUCACCGUCAAUCUUCUUGGUCAUCUUCAGUGCCUUCUUCUUCUAUGUUUUCUUUGCAAUCGCCAUCUUCGUCCUCACUGUCGUUAUGUUCUUCUUGGCCAUCGUCUUGUUCAUCAUCAUCGUUGCAGGCGGGGACAAGGAUGUUCUGGUACUUGCCCAGCAACCAGCUGAAGAAAGAAGGUAUCCCCAUGAUAGAUACUGAGAGAACUCAGAGAAGGGGUGAGGCUGGACAGGAGGAAGUUGUUUAAUUUUCUUUGUCCCGGCAAGUGGCAACGGCUUUUCCUUUGCCGAUUCACUUUUAAUUUACUCAAUGGUUGUUUCCUGUCUUUGUCUUUGUUUCAAUUAAUUAAUUAAGUAAACCGCACUACAAGGUCCUUUUGGUUUAAUUUCUUUUGUAUAUUGCAAAA